UGAUUUAGACAAGUAACAUUUUUUUUGAAAUAGUAGAACAUGCAGUCCUUUUACAAAUGAAAGAGAGGCAAAGAAAGUGUUGAACAAGAACAACUAUCAGCACAACAUGUUGUCUAUGUUCCGGUGGAAUCGUUGAUUUCUAAGGAGGAGAGGAAGAGAAUACAGGGGACCGCGUCUUCAGAUUCUCAGUAAUGGAUAAUUACAAGAACAUUCCUCAAUUCCUCUAUGGCUUAAGCCCAUCUCAGAUGGAAAUGUUUAAAACUGACGACAACCCUUAUA